rnacentral:rRNA from 1 species
AGGUGGGGACGACGUCAAGUCAUCAUGGCCCUUACGAGUAGGGCUACACACGUGCUACAAUGGCGCAUACAGAGGGCGGCCAACUUGCGAAAGUGAGCGAAUCCCAAAAAGUGCGUCGUAGUCCGGAUUGGAGUCUGCAACUCGACUCCAUGAAGUCGGAAUCGCUAGUAAUCGUGGAUCAGAAUGCCACGGUGAAUACGUUCCCGGGCCUUGUACACACCGCCCGUCACACCAUGGGAGUGGGCUGCAAAAGAAGUAGGUAGUUUAACCUUCGGGGGGACGCUUACCACUUUGUGGUUCAUGACUGGGGUGAAGUCGUAACAAGGUAGCGCUAGGGGAACCUGGCGCUGGAUCACCUCCUUAUACGAUGAU